rnacentral:tRNA from 1 species
GCGAGAGUGGUGGAACUGGUAGACACGCUGGACUUAGGAUCCAGUGGCGAAAGCCUUGCGGGUUCAAGUCCCGCCUCUCGCACCA